rnacentral:lncRNA from 1 species
UUAGAUAUAAUUUUACUAAAGAUUAUCAAAAUUAUUGAAAUGUUAAGAUAAAAAAAGAUGAAUUCUAUUGUGAAUAAAAAAUAAAAAAUUUGAUUUCUGUUUAUAUUUAUAUAAUAUAUAUAUAUAUAUAUAUAAAUUAUCAAUCUAUGAUUUUAGUAGGACCAUAAAUUUACAUAAGAUUUUUAAAUAAAUUAUUAUCUUAUUAUUUUAUCGAUUUUAUCAUAUUUUAAACUACCUCAAUUCGUUACUAAAAAUAAUUAUUAAUUUACCGCGUUUGUUAAUUUAUGAAAUGUUAAUUUAUAGGGUUUCUACUGUAUUGCACAACCAAAAUCAUUAAUAUUAAGAAAAAUAUUUCUUUAUGUAAAACACUGAUUUAAUAUGAUAAAUAAAAAAAUAAAGCUUUUAAAUUUUACAUAUCAACACAAAACACAUCAUAUAUUUUUUUCAUAGACAAGAAAAGUAAUUGUAAGAUUUUUAAAUCAUGGUAUACCAUAAAAUUUAUAGAUUAGUAUAAAAUAAAAUGUUUAUAAAAGCGACAAAUCCAGCGCUUUUAAAGCGCGAGUUAAAAUCUAGUAGUUCUUAGAAUGGAACAAUUAAUGCCAUUUAUUAGUUAAUAAUACAACUUUUUUUGUGCACAAAUUUAAUACAACUAACUUAAAAAAAAAAACAGUAUGUAAUAUAUAAUGAUACUUCCUCUUCUCUCUUCAAAUUUAGUGUAUGUUAUCUUUUCUCUGCAAAAAAAAAAAAAACACAAAACACCAACAUCACACCACCUAAAUGUCAAGAGAACGUCUCAGAAGCAGAUUCUAAAAUAACGCAUUCUAAUUCCUGAAGCAACAAAUAUCCACUAAACAUAAACUAUGACUCCAUCACUUAAUUAGCCUUGUGUAUACACCACCACAUAAAUACGGCAAAGAUCAAUUAAAUUUCGCACACCUCUCAGACAAAACUUUAUAGAAUCUGACAGAGUAGAAGAGAUUAUAUAUAUUCUUUCAUAAAUGUAUUGGAAAAAUCUUUGACCAACAUCAUAGUUGCAUAAGCAAACACAUGGGAUCGUUUUUUGGUUCGUUAAUUAAUUGACAAACCGUGAUGAUCAAAUUCUUGAUGAAAUCUUAAUAACU